CAUUGACCUCGGAUCAGGUAGGGAUACCCGCUGAACUUAAGCAUAUCAAUAAGCGGAGGAAAAGAAACCAACAGGGAUUGCCUCAGUAACGGCGAGUGAAGCGGCAACAGCUCAAAUUUGAAAUCUGGCCCUUUCGGGGUCCGAGUUGUAAUUUGUAGAGAGUGUUUCGGGCGAGACCACGGUCUAAGUCCAUUGGAACAUGGCGUCAUAGAGGGUGAGAAUCCCGUCUGCGACCGUGGCUCGAGCCCAUGUGAAGCCUCUUCGACGAGUCGAGUUGUUUGGGAAUGCAGCUCAAAAUGGGUGGUAAAUUUCAUCUAAAGCUAAAUACUGGCUGGAGACCGAUAGCGCACAAGUAGAGUGAUCGAAAGAUGAAAAGCACUUUGGAAAGAGAGUUAAACAGUACGUGAAAUUGUUGAAAGGGAAGCGCUUGCAACCAGACCUGUCCGUAGGUGAUCAGCCGCUGUUCUCAGCGGUGCACUCGCUCUGCGAUCAGGCUAGCAUCGGUUUCGGCGACCGGAUAAAGGCCUUGGGAAUGUAGCUUCCUUUCGGGGGAGUCUUAUAGCCUUCGGUGCAAUGCGGCCAGCCGGGACCGAGGACCGCGCUUCGGCUAGGAUGCUGGCGUAAUGGUUGUAAGCGACCCGUCUUGAAACACGGACCAAGGAGUCUAACAUCUAUGC
rnacentral:rRNA from 1 species